AAAUUGAAGAGUUUGAUCAUGGCUCAGAUUGAAUGCUGGCGGCAGGCCUAACACAUGCAAGUCGAACGGUAACAGGAAGCAGCUUGCUGCUU
rnacentral:rRNA from 1 species